rnacentral:rRNA from 1 species
CGAACGCUGGCGGCGCGCCUAACACAUGCACGUCGAACGGAGCUGAGAGAAGCUUGCUUUUCUUAGCUUAGUGGCGAACGGGUGAGUAACGCGUGAGUAACCUGCCCUGGAGUGGGGGACAACAGUUGGAAACGACUGCUAAUACCGCAUAAGCCCACGAUCCGGCAUCGGAUUGAGGGAAAAGGAUUUAUUCGCUUCAGGAUGGACUCGCGUCCAAUUAGCUAGUUGGUGAGGUAACGGCCCACCAAGGCGACGAUUGGUAGCCGGACUGAGAGGUUGAACGGCCACAUUGGGACUGAGACACGGCCCAGACUCCUACGGGAGGCAGCAGUGGGGGAUAUUGCACAAUGGGGGAAACCCUGAUGCAGCGACGCCGCGUGGAGGAAGAAGGUUUUCGGAUUGUAAACUCCUGUCGUUAGGGACGAUAAUGACGGUACCUAACAAGAAAGCACCGGCUAACUACGUG